UUAUUAACAAACAAUUUUUUGCUAAUAAACAGUAACUUAAAGAGUUUUACUCUCCAAAUUAAAGAGAAUUGUGGUUUUAGAGUGUUUGUUGAAGAUGCACCAAAGUCCUCAAUCAAAUUUCCGAUACUGUUUCAUCACGUCAAAUCUAUAAAUAGCCCCCAGCUAAUAGAUCCCUAAGUACCAAAUUCCUCUCUCUCUCUCUCUCUCUCUCUCUCUCUCUCUCUCUCUCUCUCUCUCUCUCUCUCUCUCUCUCUCAACAUGGCAUUUAACCUUGCAAUGCCAAUGAGGCCAUCAAUGGCUUGUUUGGGUUCUUUGAAGAAAUCAGAAACUACCAUUUUUGGAGCAAGUGGAAGAGUCCCAUCUCUGAGAAAUGAGAACAAGAGUUUGAGGCUUACCAUUAGAUGUUGGAAAGAUUUUGUUCCACCAACUACAGUUGUUGAUAAAACUACCAGCACAGACCAAACCCAAGAUACAGCAACUACAACCAACAAAAUAACAAGAAAAGAAAGACUUCCCUACUGAGUUGAAGUUUGGUUGCUCCACUUCUGCUUUUCAGACAGAAGGAAAAGGUGAUGAAGGAGGGAGAGGACCAGCGACCUGGGAUAGUUAUAUCCAAGAUGAUGAUGGAAUCA